AUAACCUUUUAUUCUACGUUUUCUAUCAUAUUUUAAUGUUCAUAGAUUAAAAUCAUCCGCGAAACAGUAUUAUUUUGUGAUUAUUGAGUGUUUUACUUCUAUAUUUGUACAUUAAGUGUGUUUAAGAUGUUCUGCAUACAAGAGAGUGAAUCCCACACAGAGCCAUUUUCAGACAAGGACCCUCUAUGUACGAGCACUCAAUCGGAGUCCAGCGAUGAGGAGCCCCAAGCCAAAAGACUGAAACCCUUCACAAGUCCAUCGUUAAACUUAAAAGUCUACCAAAUACCAGCGUUCAACACACCAAGUUCUCUAUCCAUAUUCCCAACCACAACGAAUACAUUACCCAAAUUCGUUAACAACCCCUUAAAUUUAGCUAAUCCAUUAUCGUUAACUGCAAGUAAUAUUAAUGGAAAUAAUGUAGUUAAAUCGUUGCACAGCAGGUAUUCCUUGCCAUCUAAGUUAACGAUUACACCCGUACAGACGCCCACAAAGAGUGUGGAGACGGGAGAAGUUGUGAGAUAUAAGAAGAAUGGAGAGAUAGCGAAGAAGAGAGGUCCGCCUAAGGGUUAUAAGAGGAAACCGAAAGUAGAUUUAUCAUGUAGUUUAACUAACGGAGCUCUGUUACAGGCACAGAAUACAAUUCUGACUAGUUUGUUAGCGGCAUCCAAAGUUCUUACCACCGUACCACCGACCACCAGUUUCGUGCCUCCUUCAGUCGUACCAAAGAUUGAAGUUCCCGAAGGUACUGAACUCGUGGAGUUACUCCUGGACCCUGAGGACUGGUUUCCGGCUGAACCCUACAAGAUGGUGUUUAGCAGAAAAAAGAAUCCGAAAUGGAAGAACUUUCCAUAUCGGUGCGAGCAUUGUUUUAAGGGCUAUCGCGUAGUAUCAACACUCGUAACGCAUGCGGCCGAACGGCAUGGCAGUGUGCCCCGCGAUCUUGCGAUACCGUGCCCAUGCUGCCCACACGUGUCCACGCGACGGAAGCAACACAAGAAACACCUGGAGUCCCACGAAGGGAGGAAGCACAGGAUAUUCUGUUAUUACUGUCUGCCACCGCAGGACCUGUCAGAACCAUACGUGAAAGAAUCAGAGAAGUAUCCAUUCGACAAGUUUCCACAAUACUGGUACGCCUCCGAGGAAUCUCUUCGUCUACACAAGAAAAGAAAACAUCCAUACGCAGCUAUGUACAACUACAGUUGGUACUGUACGUGGGGAGAAAACAUGCCUAAUAGUUAAUAAAUCCUACCAUUUUAGUAGUUUUUUUACUACGCUGGCAACACCAAUGUUUUGAGUUCGCUACUUAGACCCGUCAGGGACAAGAAUUGAAGAUUAUGAAAGAGUGUAAACUUUCCAAAGGAGAUAUUUCGUUUAUGAUCCUACCUUAAAUGUGAGUCGUAAAUUACGUCCCCAUCUUAGUAUUAAAUGUAAGACUGUGUUUAUCCAUACAUAAACCAAAUGCAAUAUAAUAUCUUACGUAAUAGAUAAAUUCCUACAGUAUUUUGGCAGCUGGCGAGAAUUUUAGUAGUUUUUUAUAAUGUCACUCUGGCAACUUUAUGAAUGUAUAGUAGUUUUUAUAUAAAUCAUAUUUAAAGCCAACGGUGGCGACCGGCUGAUGUAAUUAUAGUAUUUUUUAAAUAUUUUACACUGGCAAUUUUAAUUAAGUAUAAUAUUAGAAUAAGCUCGGUAUAUACAUGUUUUAUAAUAAAUAAAUGA